GAAAAUAAUUUUGAAAAAAAUAGAUGAAAUUUUGAAUUAUGUGGGUGUUUUUGAAAGAAAAAUCAGAAAUUGAUGGUCAAAAUAUAAUUUAAGAAAAUUGUGAUACAUAGGACACCCAGUCAACAGCUCCGACAAAUCGGAGCCCGCCGUUUGGCAAGGCAAGUUGACGCGGUGCCACGCGAGAAGCCACGUUGACGAUUCGCGUGUUCACAAUUGUACGGUCCGAAUUUGUUCCCGUGCGCAUGGACAGUCCGGAUUUGUUCACUUUUUAAAACGCGAUCAGACAGUCCAGAUCAAAUCACGAUGAAUGAUCCUGAUUCACUUUCUAUUUAAACACGAUCGACGGUCCACAUCCACUUCCUAUUUAAACGCGAUCGGACGGUCCAGAUUAAAUCGUGAUGAAUGAUCCAUAUUCACUUCCUAUUUAAACGCAAUCGGACGGUCAAGAUCAAACGUGAUGAACGGUACAGAUUAAAAGAAGAUGAAUAUAAAUAACUCUCUUCACACCAAACCCUAACCCUAGCCGUCAGACCCCACCGCCAGAGAAGAAGAGCCAGUCGCCGGGAAGGGAGUCGACCGUCGUUUGCCGUAGUGCCGGAGCCACUUUCGACUGCCAAAAAAGGUAAAUUUUUUCUCAUUCGCUUGAAAUUCAAUUUUUAACACCCCCAUAGCCAAAUCGGAGCAAAAGAACCAGCGGAUGAGCCGAAAACUGCGGGCCAAAGCCCGGCAGCACCACCGCGAAAAAAAGCAAAAAUUACUUCUGAUGAGGCCCUUCCUGAUUUCCAUUUCGUGUAAU
rnacentral:lncRNA from 1 species